rnacentral:rRNA from 1 species
AUUGAACGCUGGCGGCAGGCCUAACACAUGCAAGUCGAGCGAGCGGCGGACGGGUGAGUAAUGUCUGGGAAACUGCCUGAUGGAGGGGGAUAACGACUGGAAACGGUAGCUAAUACCGCAUACGAUCAGGUGUGCCCAGGUGGGGUUAGCUAGUAGGGGGGGUAACGGCCAACCUAGGCGACGCUCCCUAGCUGGUCGGAGAGGAUGACCAGCCAAACUGGAACUGAGACACGGUCCAGACUCCUCCGGGAGGAAGCAGUGGGGAAUAUUGGACAAGGGGCGCAAGCCUGAUGCAGCCAUGCCGCGUGUGUGAAGAAGGCCUUCGGGUUGUAAAGCACUUUCAGCGGGGAGGCGUUACCCGCAGAAGAAGCACCGGCUAACUCCGUGCCAGCAGCCGCGGUAAUUC